GCCAGUGUGGUAUAGUGGUUUGAGUGUUGGACUAUGACUCUGGAGACCGGGGUUUGAUUCUCCACUUAGCCA